GUAGUCAUAUGCUUGUCUCAAAGAUUAAGCCAUGCAUGUCUAAGUAUAAAUAAAUUUAUAUUGUGAAACUGCGAAUGGCUCAUUAAAUCAGUUAUGAUCUACGUGACAUAUUCUUUACUACUUGGAUAACCGUGGUAAUUCUAGAGCUAAUACAUGCAAAAAAACCCAGACUUACGAAUGGGUGCACUUAUUAGAUAAAGCCAACGCUGGGUAAAACCAGUUUCCCUUGGUGAUUCAUAAUAAUUAAGCGGAUCGCAUGGCCUUGUGCUAGCGACAGUCCACUCGAUUUUCUGCCCUAUCAUGGUUGAGAUUGUAAGAUAGAGGCUUACAAUGCCUACAACGGGUAACGGGGAAU
rnacentral:rRNA from 2 species